UACGGGGGGGGCAAGCGUUGUUCGGAAUUACUGGGCGUAAAGGGCUCGUAGGCGGCCAACUAAGUCAGACGUGAAAUCCCUCGGCUUAACCGGGGAACUGCGUCUGAUACUGGAUGGCUUGAGUGUAGGAGAGGGAUGCGGAAUUCCAGGUGUAGCGGUGAAAUGCGUAGAUAUCUGGAGGAACACCGGUGGCGAAGGCGGCAUCCUGGACUACUACUGACGCUGAGUGAGCGAAAGCCAGGGGAGCAAACGGU
rnacentral:rRNA from 1 species